CCUAAUGGUGCAUGAGAAGGAGUACUGGCGACCUCGAAUGUAUUCGAGUUGCUCAAUCUUGAUAACCUUUAAGGUGUACCAUGGCUCCAAAUGUGUAAUCUUCUUUAACUUUUUCCCAGCUAAUUUGCGUUGACACUUCCAAAGAACUUCCAUAAAGUUCGUCUCUCAGACCCUUGUGCACAUCUUGGAUUACACUUGAUGCUCAUUCUGCAGUGAGUCCAUUGGAAGGAGAAUAAUUUAGAGGCAUCUUUGCAUAAUGUCAUGAGGCUUAGAUGACCGACUCUUGCUCUUUCUAAUAGGAAAUUUGGUUGCAUUUUUAGGAGCCCCUGCUCAAUUUUGUGAGUUAAAUGACCUAUUGAUGGAAACUCCUUAUUGGAAACCAGGCUGGAUUGAGGUUAGUUUGGGUACCCUAUGCUUAGAUUUAAGCCUGCUUGGCAUAAUCUUUGCAAUAUGUCUGGGGAUUUUGGUCGUUAACCAGAAUUGUUUGUUUGUUCUUAUAGCGCUAUUUUAUUGGAUGUUCAAAGUUUACAAAGGUAUUUCCAAAUAGUGCAUGAGCAGUAAUUUAUUGUUAAGUGCUCAUCAAAAUAUAAGAAAUUCUAUUUUCAUAAAACAAUUUUGAAAGAGGUUAACGAAAAUAUGUUUAAGCAGAUGAGAGGUGAGUCCUAAGAUUGUGCGAAAUAUGAUAGUAUUAUUGAGUUAAAGAGUGAAGCUAUAUUUACAAUUCAUAAUGACGUUGGGUUUCCUUGUUAAAACUGGAACUUGUUUGUUUUGUGAUAGCUUAAGUUCCAUGCGCUUGUAUUCUGCUCUGCACACCCAAAUGACAAACGAAUAGAGGUAAAAUUACCGAUAAAGUAUAAACACAUGUUUCUUUCCAUCUUCCUUGACUUCUAUUUAUGGGAUCAUCAAUGUACAUUGUAGACUUAUUGAUUGUGGUCUAUUUCAGUCACUCCUUUUGUCUUUAGGAAAUUUUCAAUGGUGAUGGGCUUGUGCUUCAAUCUGGUAACUAUCUUUUGUUGUAGCUAAUGUUCAAUCUAUUUAUUAUUGAUUUCCAAAGCUUGAUACUUCUCAGAGUUUUGUUAAAUAGAGUUGCAGAAAAUGACCUCUUUGAUUGGUCGGGACGCUCGAAGUUAAUUGACUACAUAUCCAAUUUCAUAUUAGUCCGACCUCACAUUGGUCAGACUAUGAUUGAAAAGCUACUCAGAAUGCUCCAAGAUCCUGAUUACCGAGUUAGGUUCUCCUUGGCAAGGUAGAUUAGCACUCUUUUCCAAACUUGGGAUGGCCACGAUGACCUUUUCCACGAUAUAUGUUCAAAUUUUGGUGCAAAGUUGGUGGUUCCAUCGAAGGAAAAAGUGGUUACUGCAAAAGAGGUCUUGGCUAUUGUUCCUCAGCCUCGUUCAACAAUGGAAACCAUUAUCAUCACUCUCAUGCAUCUCGCAAUGUUCAGUGAGAAGAUAGAGCUUGGGGCUGUUUAUAUGAUGUGUCUUAUUUCUGCAAUUGAUCCUUCUCAGAGGGAAUUGGUUGUUGUUGCGCUUGAUAAUCUAUCAAGACAGCUCUAGUAUACUAGUAGGUCAAAGUACUUGGAGGAACUUAUGGGAUCAAUUCUCUUUUCUUGGGUUGCUUGUGGCGUGAGCUUAGUUUCACUCAUAGAGAUAAGGGGUCUAUUUGUUUUUGGGAUGAAGCCUAGUAAUUUCAUGCAGUAUUGUUGCCAUUGGCUUCUUCCCGCUUUAGUUUUGCAUGGGGAGACUUCCAACCUAAACUGGGUAUGUAA